ACGUGCUUCUUUGCAAGACCAUAGUGAAUACUGUUUAUGGAAUGUAAAGAAGUAUGUAG
rnacentral:pre_miRNA from 1 species